GCGCCCGUUCGUGGGAAAAGGCGAGCUCUGGGUCAGCUGCACUGGGGGAAAUCCAGCGCUGCUCGGACGAGUCUCGAUGUCUUGUUCCUAAAUGCCCCUCUGACUCCCUGCAGAACCCGUGCCUGGGGCUCAGGUAGUGAUGGUGGGAUCCUGAACUCCCCUCACUUUUCCCACAGCUGGUAUUAAUCUAACAGCUCCUCUGUAGGUGAUGCUCAGACUUUCACCAUUGCAUUUUUGCCAGGUUUUGAAGGGAAGAGCAACAGCAACAAGUAAAACACUCAGAGGGAACGUGUGUGUUGCUGUAAGAGGCACCAGAGAAAGGUGUUGAGCAAAUGAGCACAAAUCUGCUGCAAGAGGCUGCAGAGCUUGUCUGCCUGGACACCUGCCACAGCAGUCUGCUUGGUUGCAGGAAUGCAGAGGCUGCUGGGUUGGUGUUCAGCAGUGCAUGUGAAGGCUGAAGAGCAUCUGCUUUUUACACAGACAUCAUUCAAGGCUGGCAGCUGAGACACUGUGACCUUGGCUAUGACAUGGAGAUCUCCAAAUGGAGCAGAACUCAGCUUUCCUGUCAGACUCCUCUCCAAUCUGUGCUGUUCAUCACACACUCCAACAACUCUUCUUUUGAAGCUUGAUUUGGUGAAUUUAUUUAACCUUGUACACACCAGGAAUUGCGCAGAGCAGCGGAACGACGUUAACUUGACCCUCAUCUUGGAGGGUGAGGAAGGAACUGUCCUUGUCAGCGCACAGAGCUGGCUGCAGCUCUGGGAGCAGCAGAGCAGGGAAAAGUCAGGAAAAGGGGGUCUUGUCUGCUCUGCCAGUGUCCUUCCUCCCUUUGGAAACACUGCCAGAGCUUACGUAUUGGAGGUGAAGUAAAUACUAAUA